GUGGGGAAUUUUGGACAAUGGGCGCAAGCCUGAUCCAGCAAUGCCGCGUGUGUGAAGAAGGCCUUCGGGUUGUAAACUGCUUUUGUACGGAACGAAACGGUCCGGGUUAAUACCCUGGGCUAAUGACGGUACCGUAAGAAUAAGCACCGGCUAACUACGUGCCAGCAGCCGCGGUAAUACGUAGGGUGCAAGCGUUAAUCGGAAUUACUGGGCGUAAAGCGUGCGCAGGCGGUUUUGUAAGACAGGCGUGAAAUCCCCGGGCGCAACCUGGGAAUUGCGCUUGUGACUGCAAGGCUGGAGUGCGGCAGAGGGGGAUGGAAUUCCGCGUGUAGCAGUGAAAUGCGUAGAUAUGCGGAGGAACACCGAUGGCGAAGGCAAUCCCCUGGGCCUGCACUGACGCUCAUGCACGAAAGCGUGGGGAGCAAACAGGAUUAGAAACCCCGGUAGUCC
rnacentral:rRNA from 1 species